AGAGUUUGACUCCUGGCUCAGGACGAACGCUGGCGGCGUGCUUAACGACAUGCAAGUCGAACGGGGAUAUCGGGUGAAGUUCUUCGGGAAUGGAAGCUGAUAUUCGAGUGGCGGACGGGUGAGUAACGCGUGAACAAUCUGUCCCAGACAGGGGGAUAACACUUGGAAACAGGUGCUAAUACCGCAUAAGACCACGGAAUCGCAUGGUUCAGGGGUAAAAGGAGGAAUCCGGUUUGGGGUGAGUUCGCGUCCGAUUAGAUAGUUGGUGAGGUAACGGCCCACCAAGUCUGCGAUCCGGUAGCCGAUCUGAGAGGAUGACCGGCCACAUUGGAACUGAGAGACGGUCCAAACUCCUACGGGAGGCAGCAGUGGGGAAUAUUGGGCAAUGGGCGAAAGCCUGACCCAGCAACGCCGCGUGAGUGAAGGAGGCCUUCGGGUUGUAAAGCUCUGUUAUAGGUGACGAAGGAAGUGACGGUAGCCUAUAAGGAAGCCCCGGCUAACUACGUGCC
rnacentral:rRNA from 1 species